rnacentral:rRNA from 1 species
AUUGAACGCUGGCGGCAGGCCUAACACAUGCAAGUCGAGCGGAUGAAGGGAGCUUGCUCCUGGAUUCAGCGGCGGACGGGUGAGUAAUGCCUAGGAAUCUGCCUGGUAGUGGGGGAUAACGUCCGGAAACGGGCGCUAAUACCGCAUACGUCCUGAGGGAGAAAGUGGGGGAUCUUCGGACCUCACGCUAUCAGAUGAGCCUAGGUCGGAUUAGCUAGUUGGUGGGGUAAAGGCCUACCAAGGCGACGAUCCGUAACUGGUCUGAGAGGAUGAUCAGUCACACUGGAACUGAGACACGGUCCAGUCUCCUACGGGAGGCAGCAGUGGGGAAUAUUGGACAAUGGGCGAAAGCCUGAUCCAGCCAUGCCGCGUGUGUGAAGAAGGUCUUCGGAUUGUAAAGCACUUUAAGUUGGGAGGAAGGGCAGUAAGUUAAUACCUUGCUGUUUUGACGUUACCAACAGAAUAAGCACCGGCUAACUUCGU